rnacentral:rRNA from 1 species
CUCGUAGGCGGUUUCGUCGCGUCGGAAGUGAAAACCAGGAGCUUAACUCCUGGCCUGCUUUCGAUACGGGCGGACUUGAGUUCGGUAGGGGAGACUGGAACUCCUGGUGUAGCGGUGGAAUGCGCAGAUAUCAGGAAGAACACCGAUGGCGAAGGCAGGUCUCUGGGCCGAUACUGACGCUGAGGAGCGAAAGCGUGGGGAGCAAACA